AUUUCUGUAGGGGGGACAAGCGUCUAUGAAGAUUUAUUAGCACAUACUUCUCUGUUGGCAAAAUUUCUUUGGUUUACUUUGGGUCAAUCAGGUCACAUCUCUGACUGUUUUUGUUAGAAUCCUUUUGUUUGAGAUAGCAUAUACCAUGGUUUUUAAGGCAGUAAAUUGUCCUAAGGCGUUCUACCCCUGCUCUGACGCCUAAGCGGGCACCUGAGCACUAAGGCAGACUAAGCGCCUAAAGCGGGCAGAUUUCCAAGGCGCUGCCAGGGCGCCUAAGCGUCCUAACGCAGACGCCUUAAAAACCAUGGCAUAUACUAUUAUAUCUUCUAACUGAGUGCUGGCCAUGAUGGAGCUUAGUGUAGACCAACAGGGCCCAUGCCCCCUCCCCCCCCUUAAUUUUUCCAUCCAUCGAAGAAAAUGCUAUUAAUUUGGUUCCCUUCGAGUAAUGGCCCCUCUUGAAUUAUGCUCAAGCUCUGCCAGUACUGGGCCAGUGAGCCAUUCUCUUUAAUCUCUCUCUCUCUAUAUAUAUAUAGAUUAAUUGAAGCAUUUAAUAUGUUGUUGCCAUGAAUCUUCUGUUGGGCUGUUCCAGUGUUUGAGUUGUAGCUGCUUUAGUUGUGUAGAGAUUCCAAUAUGGACUCCCUCCGUCCGUAAAUAUAAGUCCUCUUUAGAGAUUCCAAUAUGAACUACGUACAGAGCGAAAUGAGUGAGUAUAAGCUUUGGUCCUUCUGCCAUCAAGUUUUCCUUAAGAGUCUAGAGUACUCUAUUUCUCCUUAUUGGAUCUUUUGCUCUUUACAUGGGAUUGUCCAUUAUCUGUACAAAUGGGACUGUAAUUCUCAUCAGCCUUCUGUCGCCACUAGCAUGGUGCUAUUUUGAAGUGAAUUCUUGGAACCACAUUAUUUUGAUUUCUGUUGUAAAGCAUAAAACUAUAUUGUCCUCUAAUUUCUGUAGGGGGGACAAGCGUCUAUGAAGCUUUAUUAGCACAUACUUCCCUGUUGGCAAAAUUUCUUUGGUUUACUUUGGGUCAAUGAGGUCACAUCUCUGGUUGUUUCUGUUAGAAUCGUUUUGUUUGAGAUAGCGUAUACCAUGGUUUUUAAGGUAGUAAAGUGUGCUAAGGCGUUCUACCCCUGCUCUGACGCCUAAGCGGGCACCUGAGCACUAAGGCAGACUAAGUGCCUAAAGCGGGCAGAUUUCCAAGGCGCUUCCAGGGCGCCUAAGCGUCCUAACGCAGACGCCUUAAAAACCAUGGCAUAUACUUUUAUAUCGUCUAACUGAGUGCUGGCCAUGGUGGAGCUUAGUGUAGACCAACAGGGCCCAUGCCCCCCUCCCCCCCUUAAUUUUUCCAUCCAUCGAAGAAAAUGCUAUUAAUUUCGUUCCCUUCGAAUAAUGGACCCCUCUUGAAUUAUGCUCAAGCUCUGCCAGUACUGGGCCACUGAGCCAUUCUCUUUACACGGGAGUGCCAUUAGCUAAAACCCCUGUAGUAUUAGCUUUGAUGGCCUUCUCAUGUUACUGUCUUACUCUUGAUUCUGGCUACAACCCUUUUGAUUGUUCUCUCUAUCCUCUCAUGCCUCAUUUCAUUCUCUCACGCCUAAUCCGACAUUGGUACGGCUGGACUGUGGUGAGGACUCCAAUUUUUCUCGAGUAUGUUGCCCUGUCGCCGCGUUCAGCCUCUUGUUACACCUGAACACACACACACACACACACACACCAUGCCUGGCUGCAGCAUGUUUGCUACCAGUCCCUGCAUGUCAGUUGUAGUCCUUACCAGAGGCUGUGCCUGCUCAUUGAGGCCACACCGCAACGCCAUGGCUAUGUGGUGUUCUGAAUAUUAUGUCAAGCUAGGCGAUGACAUUACCAUCUGAAUCCAUGUGAAAUAUAUGAUGCAAUUGCAUUUGCAUUAAUAUUGAGUGCAGAACUAUUUUCUUUACCAAUAUACUCCACUGCAAUGCCAUUUGUCUUUCUUGUUUGUCUUUUUUUAAACUACCCUUUUCAAGUGACAAUUCAACUUAUCUGUUUAUACUGUUCGCAAACAACAUACUCAGAUGUUCAGAUGGUGUAUAUAUCUGAGUUAUUUUUAUUUCUAUUUUUUAAAGGGAUGGCAUGGGACAACAUUGAGCUAACUUCAUUGAAAUGCAAGUCUGCAAUAUGAAGACCUGUAAUCUGGUGACUGAAGGUGAACACUUUGCGGAUGCUCAAAUCAAAGAUGUUGUUUGUCAAUGACGCGGUGCAGGCAGAACAGUUUGAUGAUGUACUGAUGAAUAUCUAUUGGAGUAAUGCUACAUGUUCUGGAUCAUUUAAUCAUAUGUUUUAGCAUUAAAAGUAUGAGAUUGAAUAUCUUUUCUUUCAUGAAAAUUGAAUUGAGGGCAAGCACAAGGAAAAAAAAUAGUGCUAGACAUUAUUUUUGGUUUUCUUAUCGAGGCCAAAAUGUCUUAAUUACAGAGAUCUUCCAAUUUUUCUAUUGGGGGUUCUUCCAUUCCUUUUUUUUGAGGAAUUAUGACAGUGGGGGAAGCUCCCCACUGACCUUUAUAUUUCUCAUUCCUUUUAUUGAGCACAAU
rnacentral:lncRNA from 1 species